rnacentral:rRNA from 1 species
CCUACGGGUGGCAGCAGUGGGGAAUAUUGGUCAAUGGGCGCAAGCCUGACCCAGCAACGCCGCGUGAAGGAAGAAUGCUUUCGGGUUUUUAACUUCUUUUCUCAGGGACGAAACAAGUGACGGUACCUGAGGAAUAAGCCACGGCUAACUACGUGCCAGCAGCCGCGGUAAUACGUCGGUGGCAAGCGUUAUCCGGAUGUACUGGGUGUAAAGGUCGUGUAGGCGGGAAAGCAAGUCAGAUGUGAAAGCCAUGGGGUCAACCUGUGUCGUGCAUUUGAAACUGUCUUUCUUGAGUACUGGAGAGGCAGGCGGAAUUCCUAGUGUAGCGGUGAAAUGCGGAGAUAUUAGGAGGAACACCAGUGGCGAAGGCGGUCUGCUGGACAGCAACUGACGCUGAGGCGCGAAAGCGUGGGGAGCAAACAGGAUUAGAUACCCGAGUAGUC